rnacentral:rRNA from 1 species
CCUACGGGUGGCAGCAGUGAGGAAUAUUGCUCAAUGGGCGCGAGCCUGAACCAGCCAAGUAGCGUGAAGGAUGACUGCCCUACGGGUUGUAAACUUCUUUUAUAAGGGAAUAAAGUGAGGCACGUGUGCCUUUUUGUAUGUACUUUAUGAAUAAGGAUCGGCUAACUCCGUGCCAGCAGCCGCGGUAAUACGGAGGUUCCGGGCGUUAUCCGGAUUUAUUGGGUUUAAAGGGAGCGUAGAUGGGUUGUUAAGUCAGAUGUGAAAGUUUGCGGCUCAACCGUAGAAUUGCAGUUGAUACUGGCAGUCUUGAGUACAGUUGAGGUAGGCGGAAUUCGUGGUGUAGCGGUGAAAUGCGUAGAUAUCACGAAGAACUCCGAUUGCGAAGGCAGCUUACUGAACUGACACUGACGUUGAUGCUCGAAAGUGUGGGUAGCAAACAGGAUUAGAUACCCCUGUAGUC